UACGUAGGGUGCGAGCGUUAAUCGGAAUUACUGGGCGUAAAGCGUGCGCAGGCGGCGCGUUAAGACAGGUGUGAAAUCCCCGAGCUUAACUUGGGAACUGCGCUUGUAACUGAGAGGCUAGAGUGUGGCAGAGGGGGGUGGAAUUCCACGUGUAGCAGUGAAAUGCGUAGAGAUGUGGAGGAACACCGAUGGCGAAGGCGGCAUCCUGGACCGGUAUUGACGCUGAGGCGCGAAAGCUAGGGGAGCAAACAGG
rnacentral:rRNA from 1 species